UGUCGCGUCUGUCGUGAAAGUCCGGGGCUUAACCCCGGAUCUGCGGUGGGUACGGGCAGACUAGAGUGCAGUAGGGGAGACUGGAAUUCCUGGUGUAGCGGUGGAAUGCGCAGAUAUCAGGAGGAACACCGAUGGCGAAGGCAGGUCUCUGGGCUGUAACUGACGCUGAGGAGCGAAAGCAUGGGGAGCGAACAGGAUUAGAUACCCUGGUAGUCCAUGCCGUAAACGUUGGGCACUAGGUGUGGGGACCAUUCCACGGUUUCCGCGCCGCAGCUAACGCAUUAAGUGCCCCGCCUGGGGAGUACGGCCGCAAGGCUAAAACUCAAAGGAAUUGACGGGGGCCCGCACAAGCGGCGGAGCAUGCGGAUUAAUUCGAUGCAACGCGAAGAACCUUACCAAGGCUUGACAUGUUCUCGAUCGCCGUAGAGAUACGGUUUCCCCUUUGGGGCGGGUUCACAGGUGGUGCAUGGUUGUCGUCAGCUCGUGUCGUGAGAUGUUGGGUUAAGUCCCGCAACGAGCGCAACCCUCGUUCCAUGUUGCCAGCACGUAAUGGUGGGGACUCAUGGGAGACUGCCGGGGUCAACUCGGAGGAAGGUGAGGACGACGUCAAAUCAUCAUGCCCCUUAUGUCUUGGGCUUCACGCAUGCUACAAUGGCCGGUACAAUGGGUUGCGAUACUGUGAGGUGGAGCUAAUCCCAAAAAGCCGGUCUCAGUUCGGAUUGGGGUCUGCAACUCGACCCCAUGAAGUCGGAGUCGCUAGUAAUCGCAGAUCAGCAACGCUGCGGUGAAUACGUUCCCGGGCCUUGUACA
rnacentral:rRNA from 1 species